UGGGGAAUUUUUCGCAAUGGGCGAAAGCCUGACGAAGCAACGCCGCGUGGAGGAUGAAGGCCUUCGGGUCGUAAACUCCUGUCGACCGGGACGAAAGCAGUCUGACCCAAUACGUCGGACUGUUGACUGUACCGGUGGAGGAAGCCACGGCUAACUCUGUGCCAGCAGCCGCGGUAAUACAGAGGUGGCAAGCGUUGUUCGGAAUUACUGGGCGUAAAGGGCGCGUAGGCGGCCUGGUCAGUCCCGUGUGAAAUCCCUCGGCUCAACUGAGGAACUGCACGGGAAACUGCCUGGCUUGAGUUCGGGAGAGGGAAGCGGAAUUCCGGGUGUAGCGGUGAAAUGCGUAGAUAUCCGGAGGAACACCGGUGGCGAAGGCGGCUUCCUGGACCGACACUGACGCUGAGGCGCGAAAGCUAGGGGAGCAAACGGGAUUAGAUACCCCGGUAGUCCUAGCUGUAAACGAUGAGUGCUGGGUGUAGGAGGUAUCAACCCUCCUGUGCCGAAGCUAACGCUAA
rnacentral:rRNA from 1 species